rnacentral:rRNA from 1 species
GACGAACGCUGGCGGCGUGCUUAACACAUGCAAGUCGAGCGGUAAGGCCCUUUCGGGGGUACACGAGCGGCGAACGGGUGAGUAACACGUGGGUGACCUGCCCUCAGCUCUGGGAUAAGCCUGGGAAACUGGGUCUAAUACUGGAUAUGACUCCACGGUGCAUGUCGUGGGGUGGAAAGCCUUGUGCGGCUGAGGAUGGGCCCGCGGCCUAUCAGCUUGUUGGUGGGGUGAUGGCCUACCAAGGCGACGACGGGUAGCCGGCCUGAGAGGGCGACCGGCCACACUGGGACUGAGACACGGCCCAGACUCCUACGGGAGGGCAGCAGUGGGGAAUCUUGCGCAAUGGGCGAAAGCCUGACGCAGCGACGCCGCGUGAGGGAUGACGGCCUC